CAGCGCGGUAACACCUGCGUCACAAGUGGCAAUCGCGUUUAUUGGGCCUAAAGCGUUCGUAGCCGGAUCAAUCAGUCUUGGGUGAAAUCGUUGCGCUUAACAAAACGACGUGCUUGAGAUACUGUUGGUCUAGGGACCGGGAGGCGUUAGAAGUAUUCUGGGGGGAGCGGUAAAAUGUUAUAAUCCUCGGAGGACUACCUGUGGCGAAGGCGUCUAACGAGAACGGGUCCGACGGUGAGGAACGAAAGCUAGGGGAGCAAACCGGAUUAGAUACCCGAGUAGUCCUAGCCGUAAACGCUGUGUACUAGAUGUUGCAUAAUCUACAUGGUUGUGCAGUGUCGGAGCGAAGGUGUUAAGUACACCGCCUGGGAAGUACGGUCGCAAGGCUGAAACUUAAAGGAAUUGGCGGGGGAGCACGGUCAUAGCUGUUUUCCUG
rnacentral:rRNA from 1 species